UGGCGUCGCCGCGCGCUCCUCUCUGCGUUCUCCGAUCAUCGUUUAUCAUCUCACGGUUUAUGGACGACGAGGACCAGAUAUUAUGAUAGCACAUUGUCGGGGUUGGUUCUACAACAUUUUCGCCAAAGUGUUCUGUGGAAACCGCUUGAGCUCCGAACCGAGCCGUGAGAGAUAAGAAAAGAAGUUUGCCGGAUACAGGUGCGAUCUCUCUCUAACUCCAGCUGAUGAUCACAGACACAGAUCUGGACUGCCGGAUUCCAGUAGAUCAUAUCAGAUCUCGCGCAAGAUGAAGUCUGCCGGAGCUGGUGAUGAAGGACUCUUCACGGAGAGCUACUGUAACAUCUGCAACGCUCAGCUGAUCUCUGAGUCUCAGCGCGUGGCACACUAUGAGAGCAAGAAACACGCCAACAAAGUGCGUCUGUUCUACAUGCUCCACCCAGAAGAUGGAGGUCCACCAUCCAAAAGACUGAGACCAGACA